GUCGAAUAGGUGUUGCACCAACUGAAUUUUUAAACACAAAACUUUCAUUUUUUUAAAUAAACAGACUUAUAUUUUGUUUUUUAUUUAAUUUUUAAAGACAGAGUUAGCCUACUUUAAUCCUGUUGCUCCAGUACUAAACAUUUUAUUUAAAUUUUAGGGCAGUGUUUAAACGGGCAGGCUGCUCUGUCACCAGCAAAGGUGGCCACUCUCUGCAGCGAAUCGCACCUGUUGUUCCCUUCGAUACUUCAUGUGUAACGUAGACUAACCCAGAGCCGUUGAAAAACAGAGUUGCGAGACUGCCAUAGGAACUUUAGAAUGCGGAAGUAACGCGUGUCGUGGAGCAGCCAAUAGUUCCAAACACUGAUAGUUCCAGCGCUGAACUUCACACAUUUUCAAUGUUUCUGAAGUACGCUCGCUGGAGGUGAAAAACAAGUCUAAACCAAGACUUAAACUUAGAUAAAGUAAUUGUCAGUAAUUUAAGUUCCAGCUGUCGAACAGGUGGGAUUUAAUUUGCAAAGCCAUACACUGUAAGCCAUCACUGUAUGUGUGUGUUGUUUUGUUUGUUUUCAACAGGAUGGAUUAUCGGUGGGGAGUGGAGCAGUGGCCAGGCUGGGGGAGCUUGUGGUUCCUGUAAGCAAUGGAGUGAUGAUGAAGCUGGUUUAAAUUUGAACAGUGGGGUGCUGAAGCUGGUGGGGUGAUGGUGAGGCUAUCAUGGCAUGAAGGAAGCCUGCUGUCCAAGAGCCUACCCUCUCUCUCCAGCAUAUCCAUGGCAUUUGGAUCCAUAAAGGAGCCACUGGUCCUAGUUCGGAACAGCUCCUCAAUUUGCCGGACUAAAUCGAAGGCCUCUUGUGACGGCCGACAAAGUACACCUGGCUUGAACUCUUUCAGCUUCAGUAAAACACUGUGAUUUCCUUCAGGACUGUCAUCAUUGUGCUUAAUUGCACUUUGGCAACCCUCACAAAUCUUGGAAUAUUUAAUCACUUAAUUGAUAUUCACUUGUUGUGCAUGUACAGUACAGGUCAAAAGUUUGGAAACAUUACUAUUUUUAAUGUUUUUGAAAGAAGUCUC